AUCGUAAUUGAAGAGGUUUGGAAAGACCCACCACAGAAGGUAAUAGUCCUGUAUGUUAAACGAGAAGACUUUAGAUAUGAUCCAGAGUACCACGGGACACGUGAAACCCUGUGGGAAGCAGGAGGGACCACCCUCCAAGGCUAAAUACUACCUAGUGACCGAUAGCGUAUAGUACCGUGAGGGAAAGGUGAAAAGAACCCCGGGAGGGGAGUGAAAUAGAACCUGAAACCCUGCACUUACAAGCUGUGGAAGCACAUUUCUUGUGUGACCGCGUACUUUUUGUAGAACGGGCCAACGAGUUACGUUAAGUAGCAAGGUUAAGCACUUAAGGUGCGGAGCCGUAGCGAAAGCGAGUUUUAACUGAGCGUUCAGUUACUUGACGUAGACCCGAAACCGGGCGACCUACCCAUGAGCAGGAUGAAGCGAAAGUAAAAUUUCGUGGAGGUCCGAACCCACGAGCGUUGAAAAGCUCGGGGAUGACUUGUGGGUAGCGGUGAAAUUCCAAUCGAGCCCGGAGAUAGCUGGUUCUCCCCGAAAUAGCUUUAGGGCUAGCCUCAAGGUGAGAGAUACGGAGGUAGAGCACUGAAUGUCCUAGGGGGUAUUGCACCUACCGAAGACUAUCAAACUCCGAAUGCCGUCAUCUUAUACUUGGGAGUCAGACUGUGGGUGAUAAGAUUCAUAGUCGAAAGGGCAACAGCCCAGAUCGUCAGCUAAGGUCCCUAAAUGUAAGUUAAGUGGUAAAGGAUGUGGGAUUGCACAGACAACCAGGAUGUUGGCUUAGAAGCAGCCACUCAUUCAAAGAGUGCGUAAUAGCUCACUGGUCGAGUGAUCCUGCGCCGAAGAUUUCCGGGGCUAAAACUUACUACCGAAGCUACGGCAUCAGUAAUGAUGGGUAGGGGAGCUUCCCAUACGGGUUGAAGCAUGACCGUAAGGACAUGUGGACAGUAUGGGAGUGAGAAUGUUGGCAUGAGUAGCGAGAUGUGGGUGAGAAUCCCACAGGCCGUAAACCCAAGGUUUCCAGGGGAAGGUUCGUCCGCCCUGGGUUAGUCGGGACCUAAGCUGAGGCCGAAAGGCGUAGGUGAUGGACAACAGGUUGAUAUUCCUGUAC
rnacentral:rRNA from 1 species